ensembl:lncRNA LINC00472 long intergenic non-protein coding RNA 472
AGGGGCGCCCCCUCCCUCCGGUGGCCGGCGAAGGAAGUCGGUCCGCGGCCGCAGAUCCCGGCAACUUGCGAACCGGGAAAAGUUUGCGGCGCCUCCGCGGGGCGGCGCGACGCGGCCCGCCCCUCGCGUCCGCGGUCAUCGCGGGUGACUUUCUCGACUCGUCGUCAGCCGGGGCCGCAGCGCGGCCGGUGGGGACUGCGGGGCGGGCCGGAGUCCGUCCGAGGGCUCCCGCACCUCGGGCUGCGGCACCAGACAUGUUGGCAUCAUCUCUUAGUUGGGCCAUGUGGCCAGGGAACCCUUCAUGAAACCACCUCUGCAGUCCUGGAGAGUUGCUGUAGAAGAAGGAAAAGAGAGGAAGACAACACAACACAGGAGGGGAUAAGUACCUCUGGACACAAUGGAAGUAGUAGUUGUUGAGCAGAGGGAAAGGGAUAGGAGAAGGAUGUGGACUGCAGUGCUGCAGUGCCAGGUAAUAACUUUGAUCAUGUACCUCCUUGGCUCAGGUGCUGUCUCUUCUACUCUCCUCCUUACUUGUACUACCUUAUUUAGCACUUAAUUAUAUACUUUCUUGACUCACUUUGAGACACACUGAUUAUGUGGUCUGCCUCAAAGACAGAAUCCUAGUUUUGGAUUUUAGCAUUACUGAUCUAUAGCCUUGCAGGGGCUUAAGGAUGGCAGCUGUCUCUCUCCCUUGGGAUCUAGCUUUUGCAAAUAUUGAAGGGAAGAGAUUUCUUUGAUCUUAUAGGAAUAGAUCCACAGUUCCUCUCCAGAUUUGCUUUUAUAGAGAAGUGUGUGUCACCAAAACAAUGGAGAUACGGUCAGAGAGGCCCCUACCCCCAGAAUUUUAAUAUAAUUUUACUUUCUGGGGCAUUUAUUCUUGACAAAUACUUUCUCUCCUAUCAGCUCACUUGUUCCUCACAAAAACCCUAUAAGAUAUUAAUAUUAUUAAACAGACCCCUAUGAAGCACCUCAAGUCUUUCUCUCUUCCCACUUCCAUUCUUGCACACCUUUUGCUAGACUAGUCUCUGCGUUCAUCACAUCAGGUUUCUAAAAUAAAAGUCCCCUAAUAACUUUCUAUUUGUUCUCUCAUCAUAUUGAACCUUUUUUGCCUGGCUUAUAAGGUGGCCUUAAAACCCCAUUUUCCUCUAAACAUUGUCUCUGUAGUUCAGGAAUAUGGCAGGCUCAACACUAUGCUUGAGCCCAUAUUGCUUCCCUCAUUAGUGAUGCCUCCUCUCAGACCACCCAGAUUCUACUCAUUCUUCAAUUUCCAGCUUCUCCUUGGAGCCUUCCCAGAUCAUUAGCUUCUUAAAAAUCCCAGCUUUCUCUGAAUUCUGAUGGUAGCCCCCGUUAUUUGGACAAUUAUGUCCUGGUCUUAAAGUCCUAAUGGGAAAAAAAAGUACAUGAUGGACUUCAUGUAGAGAAGAAAGCACUGGACUGAGUUUUAAGACAGCUGCUAAGGAGCUGUGUGAGCCAAACCAGGUUACUUUACCUCUCUGGAUCUAUAUUUGCUGAUCUGUUAAGUGGAGACAAUUGGGUCAGAUAAUCUUGGUGGUCUUUGCUUAUUCUGAGGUUCUUGGACAACUUGGCCUAGUUCACGUGGGAUGGGAUUGAAGAUCUUACUGAGUUCUUGGAUGGAAAUGUCAGUAAUGGGCACUUAGUGCCUUCAGGACUUGUUCUAUACUAUCCCAGAAAUUUCUGAUGCUAAACUUGGCAAUUUUUAAAUGUCAUAUUCCUUUUCUCCAAACUCUUUAACCACAAGAAUUCAGGGAAGGUUAUGGGGGGUGACUUAGUUAUCUGGAUAAUACAUAUUGUGGACAAUAUAGCAUUAUCCUUGGGAAUGAUUUCAUAUUGUUGAAUAAAUAGGAUCAACUUCUUGAUAAACCUUAGUCCCAAGCAUUUCAUCUUCAUUGGAUAGUGUUACAUAGUAAUAUAUUUAUGUUUUCUUUUAAUCAUUUCAUAACUUGGAAAAUACUAACAUAGUCAAAACUCUAGGGUAGGUGAUACAUGAGUUUCUGUAGUAAUCUGGUUGGAGACAUGUUGUAAUUCUGUAUAUAUAUGUACAUUUAUCCCAUGCAUGUUAUGCCUAAACUAAGACGGAUACCCCUGAAUUAAGAGGUGCUGUUAUACAUUGACCAGGCUUAAGAAUAUCUCUUUAAAGUGUGUCGACAUUUAAUUGACCUUUGGAAGUUCAUUCUGUUAAUCAUACUCAAAGUGCUAAAGCUAUGGUUGACUGCUCUGGUGUUUUUAUAUUCAUUCGUGCUUUAGCAUAUAAAUUCUUCAGCAUAAUUGCUACUUAUUUAGCAAGAGUUUCCUUUAUUUGAAAAUGUGAGUUGUGCUUGUAUUUUUGUGUCUUUCUUUCUUUCUUUCUUUUUUUAAACUUUGCUUC